UUGGACAAUGGGCGAAAGCCUGAUCCAGCCAUGCCGCGUGUGUGAAGAAGGUCCUCGGAUUGUAAAGCUCUUUCACCGGAGAAGAUAAUGACGGUAUCCAGAGAAGAAGCCCCAACUAACUUCGUGCCAGCAGCCGCGGUAAU
rnacentral:rRNA from 1 species